rnacentral:lncRNA from 1 species
UUUUUAGAUGUUGAUUAUUUUACUAUUUCUUUAUUGUUUACCAUAGUUUACAUUAUACUUCAAAUUAUUAAAUUGUCAUGUAAAUCAGGACUGUUAGCACUUUGCAGACACUUUAUUUCUCUAAUAUCUUUUUACAUAUUGUUAUUGUUGUCAUUUAAAUCUACUUAUAUUUAAACACCAUGCAACAUCAUCGUUAUCGUCACAACAGUUAAUAUCCAAUUAUAUUUAUCCAAGUAUUUUUUUCUUUUUUCUUGAUCCUUAUUCUUUCCUUUGUUUACCUCUAUCUUAGAUCGUUUUUCUUUUUCCUAAAGAUCCUAUUUGAGGUCUUUUGUAUCUGUCUAAAAAUAUCUUCAUUUCAACUUAUUUUUUUUGAAGCACAUUAUUUUUGGUUUGUUAUAGUAAAAUAAUUGUUAGGAGUUUUUUUAUUGCUCUGUAAAGCAUUUUUACAAUUGACAUUGGGCUUUCUUCUCUCUCUCCUCUCUCUGUCUCUCUCUGUGUGUGUGUAUGUGUGUGUUUGAAUUUGCUAUUAGUAUUAUAGAUAGCACUUUAUAAGCAGUGCUCCUUUUUUCUUUGGUUGAUUUUUAAAGAUUUUGUAUUUGUUUUUGACAAUCAAGAUUUUUACAUAAUUUGUCUAAAUUUUUUGGGUUUUUUUUUUGCUCUGUUUUAUUUUGCCCCAUAUUUAUAUCACUUUUUGAAUCUGUGGCAUGUUUUAAGUCAGUUUUGGAAAACAUGCAUAUCUCUUCAAGUUUUCUGUUCUCCUUCCUAUUUCUUCUCCUCCUUCAAAAAUGAGGGUACUUUAAUUUUUUUUUAACUUUAUCUCAUGUUCUCUUUGGUGGUUUCUUGUAUUUUCUGUUUGGAUUAUUUACAUAACAGCUUUGUGAAGUUUACAAGUUGCCAAAUAACUUGAAAGAAAUAUCAGUACAGGUUGGCUGUUUGAGCUUGACUUAGGUUCUUCAGAGUGGUUAUGACAAUCCAGAAGCUUGAGAAUCAUUGUCAUACAUAUUUUGAAUUUCUAAUUUAAACAUCAGACGGCAAUGUAACCACUGUAUAAGUAAGAACUUGGUCUAGAUGCAUCAGUGGUGUCAUAUAUUUGCAGCUGCCUUCUUGAAUCACAGGGUCUUCACUCAAGGUGUAAAAUAACCCAUCCAAUUUAAACUCCUAUAACGAGUAUUUGAUCAUAUUUACAUCAAGCUGCAGGAAGAUUUUACCCUGAGUGACAGUGUAUUCAGCUAAAAAUUUCUGGAGACUGGGAAGACCAAGAUCCAGACACCAGCAGAUUUGGUGUCUGGUCGGUGCUCUCUGUUUUAAAGAUGAUGCCUUAUUGCUGCAUCCUCACAUGGUGAAAGAGGACAAGGGUUCCGGGCAAGGUGGCCGAAUACGAAUAGCUCUCGUCUGCAGCUCUCAGUGAGACCAAUAGAGAAGUGAUUUCUGCAUUUCCAACUGAGGUACCCGGCUCACUACACUGGGACUGGUUAGACAAUGGGGACAGCCCACAGAGGGUGAGCUGAAGGAAGGUGGGACAUCGCCUCACCC